GGAGGUAGUGACAAUAAAUCACAAUGCGGAACAAUGUUUUGCAAUUGGAUUGAGAACAACGUACAAACCUUAUCGAUAAACAAUUGGAGGGCAAGUCUGGUGCCAGCAGCCGCGGUAAUUCCAGCUCCAAUAGCGUAUAUUAACGUUGUUGCAGUUAAAAAGCUCGUAGUUGAAAUGAAGGGUAGUUGUGUAAUGAAUACAUUCGUGUAUUUUGUUAUUCAACUACCCUCCUUCUAAAUUCGAUAUAUGAGUAUUAAUUUACUUGUAUAUGGUUUUAGACGUUUACUGUGAGAAAAUUAGAGUGUUCAAAGCAGGCAUUUGCUUGAAUAUAUUAGCAUGGAAUAAUCAUGUAUGAUUUUCAUGAUGUAUUAAAUUGGUUUGGUUCAUGAGAAUAAGAUUAAAAGGGACAGUUGGGGGUAUUCAUAUUCAAUAGUCAGAGGUGAAAUUCUCGGAUUUAUGGAAGAUGAACAAUGGCGAAAGC
rnacentral:rRNA from 1 species